rnacentral:rRNA from 1 species
GGGCUGCAGUGGGGAAUAUUGCACAAUGGGCGCAAGCCUGAUGCAGCCAUGCCGCGUGAGUGAAGAAGGCCUUAGGGUUGUAAAGCUCUUUCGCCGGUGAAGAUAAUGACGGUAGCCGGAGAAGAAGCCCCGGCUAACUCCGUGCCAGCAGCCGCGGUAAUACGGAGGGGGCUAGCGUUGUUCGGAAUUACUGGGCGUAAAGCGCACGUAGGUGGAUUGUUAAGUCAGGGGUGAAAUCCCGAGGCUCAACCUCGGAACUGCCUUUGAUACUGGCAAUCUUGAGUCCGGGAGAGGUGAGUGGAAUUCCUAGUGUAGAGGUGAAAUUCGUAGAUAUUAGGAAGAACACCAGUGGCGAAGGCGGCUCACUGGCCCGGUACUGACACUGAGGUGCGACAGCGUGGGGAGCAAACAGGAUUAGAUACCCCGGUAGUC